rnacentral:lncRNA from 1 species
AGACAGCCUGGACACAUUAAAAUCUCUCUUUUUCAUGCUGAAUCAUCACAUCUGUUUGGCAGAAAAAAAUUUCCAAAACGUUCUUUCUUCAAUCCUGUUACCAUUUUCAAUUCUCUUUCUUUUUGAAAUUUUCUUCAAUCCGGGUUUCUUGACCAUUCCUCUUCCAUGGGUUCUUCGUUGUAGAUCGACUCAUCUCUAACCAGGUACCUCUUUUCCCCAUUUGCUAAUGUUUCUUUUGCUAUUUUGUGGGCUUGGAAGUUCUCUGAUUUUUGAAUAAACUGAAAAUCUAUUUCUUGAAAUAGCGAACUAUGACUCUUGAUAUCUUUGAUAACUACUCCAAUGAUCGAUUUAUCCAUCUCUGUCGAUUGACAUUUUUUAAUGACUGUUUUCGAAUCUCCCCUUAUUGUGACUGAUCGAAGGCCCAGUGAAAUACCCAGCUUGAUUGCUUGUAAACAAGCGAAUGCCUCUGCAAGAAAUGGGGAUGAGACAUUGGAAUGAAGGGUUGUUUUUAAGACUCUUAUCUCUCCCUUCCAGUUUCGUACAAUGACCCCCGACGCUGAUCUGGACCUGUUUGCAUCAAAAGCUGCAUCAAAUUGUAUUGUGUCCUCCAUUUUCUCCUCCGUCUCUGUAUUUUGGCAGUCUUCAAGGUACGUCUUUCCUUACCCACUCCUUCAAGUUCUGCUAUAUAGCUCUCUACUUUCUGUGUAAGGUUCCUUCCUGAUGUGUUUUUUCUCAUGUACCAUUUGAUUUCGUGAGCUCCAUAUGAUCCAUAAAGCGCAACAAAACAUCUGACACUGUUCCUUAGUUCCUUUUGCAAAUACCCAUGUAAGCCAUGUUUUGGUAUUUUGAUCUGAAUAUGAUGUAACCCAAUCCAUGUUAAUAUUCUGCCAAACUUCAGUAAUUGUAGGGCAUUGCUGGAAUACAUGGAAGCUGUCCUCUUCCCCGGAGCCACAACGAGGGCAUCUCACGUUUGUGGUUAUUCGCUUGUAUCGUAGGUUGGCUAGUGUAGGAAUAUAAUUCCAGGAUAUCCGCUAGACAAACAGUAGAGUUUUUGAUGGAAGUUGUAAAUCCCAUAACUUUCUGUAGAAUUCUUUAAAAUCUGUCUAUAAUAAGUUAUUAAAAAUCGAAUCAACUUCUUGUAAUAGUUUAUAGGCACUCCGUACAGAGAACUCUCCGGUCGGUUCACCUUUCCAAACGUGUAAGUCUUCACUGUUCGUUUCUGCAAGUGGUAUCUCCAAAAAUUUUUGAGCUAUAUCUGAUUGAAAGGUACUAAUAAUGACCUCCGUUUUCCACUUCUUAUUUGUUCCAUCAAUUAAAUCUGAUACUAUUUUUAGUUCCCUAUUUUCAUCUCCGUUCUGCCAUGUACUAGGUUCAAUCCUUGGAAUCCACCGAUUUGUCCAGAAGGAAACAUUGUUUCCUCUCCAACUCUCCAACUUAGCCCUGGAAGGAGGAGUCUCUUUGUUGCCCAGAUGCUCUUCCAGGUAAGAGAAG